rnacentral:rRNA from 1 species
GAUGAACGCUGGCGGCGUGCCUAAUACAUGCAAGUCGAGCGAACAGACGAGGAGCUUGCUCCUCUGACGUUAGCGGCGGACGGGUGAGUAACACGUGGAUAACCUACCUAUAAGACUGGGAUAACUUCGGGAAACCGGAGCUAAUACCGGAUAAUAUAUUGAACCGCAUGGUUCAAUAGUGAAAGACGGUUUUGCUGUCACUUAUAGAUGGAUCCGCGCCGCAUUAGCUAGUUGGUAAGGUAACGGCUUACCAAGGCAACGAUGCGUAGCCGACCUGAGAGGGGGUGCGGCCACACUGGAACUGAGACACGGUCCAAACUCCUACGGGAGGCAGCAGGAGGGAAUUUUCCGAAAGGGGCGAAAGCCUGACGGAGCAACGCCGCGUGGGGGAUGAAGGUCUUCGGAUCGUAAAACUCUUUUAUUAGGGAAAAAAAAAUGUGUAAGUAAAUAUGCACGUUUUGACGGUACCAAAUCAAAAAGCCACGGCUAACUACGU